GGGUGGGUAGGGGAGUAGGGCAGAGGGAGGGUAUAGGGAACUUUCGGGAUAGCAUUUGAAAUGUAUAUAAAGAAAAUAUCUAAUAAAAAAUAAAUUAAAAAGAAAAGAAAUAGCAGUUGUUACAGAAUCUGGAGCCUGAGGAACCAUGGUGACAACAUGAGGACAAUGCCCAACAGUGAGACCUAGGGAAAGAAGCUUCGUGCUCAGAGAGCAUCUCAGGAGGAGAGGGGAAGCCAAGAUGGAGGCGAACACACACGAAGAAGAAGAACCUGAACCAACAUGGACUUAAAUAGCCACAGGGCAUCAGCUUCAGUAUAUUCUGGAACCUGGCAGAGAAGGGAAGAAACGCCAGCUCCAGAUGACAGGCAGAAAGACAGCAGCGCUAAAUGUGAGGU
rnacentral:lncRNA from 1 species